UACGGAGGAUGCAAGCGUUAUCCGGGUUUAUUGGGUUUAAAGGGUGCGUAGGCGGGGCGGUAAGUCAGUGGUGAAAUCUCCCGGCUCAAAAGGGAAACUGCCAUUGAUACUGCUGUCCUUGAGUUUAGUUGGAGUGGGCGGAAUACGGGCAUGUAGCGGUGAAAUGCAUAGAUAUGCCAUAGAACACCAAUCGCGAAGGCAGCUCACUAAACUAAUACUGACGCUGAGGCACGAAAGCGUGGGGAGCGAACAGGAUUAGAAACCCUGGUAGU
rnacentral:rRNA from 1 species